rnacentral:rRNA from 1 species
ACCAAGGCAGCGAUGGUUAGCUGGUCUGAGAGGAUGAUCAGCCACACUGGAACUGACACACGGUCCAGACUCCUACGGGAGGCAGCAGUGAGGAAUUUUGCGCAAUGGGGGAAACCCUGACGCAGCAACGCCGCGUGAGUGAUGAAGGCUUUCGGGUCGUAAAGCUCUGUCAAGUGGGAAGAACCCACAUGGUGCUAAUAUCACCAUGUGUUGACGGUACCACUGAAGGAAGCACCGGCUAACUCCGUGCCAGCAGCCGCGGUAAUACGGGGGGUGCAAGCGUUAUUCGGAAUUACUGGGCGUAAAGAGCGCGUAGGCGGUCUUUUAAGUCAGGUGUGAAAGCCCGGGGCUUAACCCCGGAAGUGCACUUGAAACUAAGGGACUUGAGUAUGGGAGAGGGAAGUGGAAUUCCUGGUGUAGCGGUGAAAUGCGUAGAUAUCAGGAGGAACACCGGUGGCGAAGGCGACUUCCUGGACCAAUACUGACGCUGAGGCGCGAAGGCGUGGGGAGCAAACAGGAUUAGAUACCCUGGUAGUCCACGCAGUAAACUGUGAACACUAGGUGUAGCGGGUAUUGACCCCUGCUGUGCCGCAGCAAACGCAUUAAGUGUUCCGCCUGGGGAGUACGGCCGCAAGGUUAAAACUCAAAGGAAUAGACGGGGGCCCGCACAAGCGGUGGAGCAUGUGGUUUAAUUCGACGCAACGCGAAGAACCCUACCUGGAUUUGACAUCCCGGGAAUCUUUUUGAAAGAUUAGAGUGCCCUUCGGGGAACCCGGUGACAGGUGCUGCAUGGCUGUCGUCAGCUCGUGUCGUGAGAUGUUGGGUUAAGUCCCGCAACGAGCGCAACCCCUAUCUUUAGUUACCAUCAUUUAGUUGGGGACUCUAAAGAUACUGCCCCGGUUAACGGGGAGGAAGGUGGGGAUGACGUCAAGUCCUCAUGGCCUUUAUGUCCAGGGCUACACACGUGCUACAAUGGGCUGUACAAAGGGUUGCCAACCUGUGAAGGUGAGCUAAUCCCAGAAAGCAGUUCGUAGUUCGGAUUGGAGUCUGCAACUCGACUCCAUGAAGCUGGAAUCGCUAGUAAUCGUGGAUCAGCAUGCCACGGUGAAUACGUUCCCGGGCCUUGUACACACCGCCCGUCACACCAUGAGAGUUGGUUGUACCAGAAGUCGUUGGGCAAACCUUUCGGGGAUGCAGGCGCCUAAGGUAUGGCUGAUGAUUGGGGUGAAGUCGUAACAAGGUA